GGGGCAGCAGCUGCAGCGUGGGCGUUCUCUGAUUCCUAUUGAUCUGUUUCAGAUUCUGUGCUGAUCUUCUGUAAUUAACAAGUUAGUGUAAAAAACAUUACUUCUACAGAACGUUGCAAAAUCUCUCCCCAAAUCCCUGUACCUGGGGGCUUUAUCCACCUGGAAAUGACUCUGUGAGGGCGUUGCAAGAGCAGCCUGCAGAUGCAGCCGGCGAUGAGCCCCUCCAGAGGCAAGUGUGGCUCGGCCUCAGCACCGAAUGGAACCUUGAGGCUCUUCCCGUGGAGCCCGGCAGGCGGAUCAGGAGCCCCGUGCCCGAUCAGCUCUUUGGACAUCUAGAAAAAGUCUGUCUACAGAAAACCCCAUCACUACAAACUUUAAUCUGCUUGGAAUUUGCAUCUUACAGGCUUCCAAAUUAACUUUCCAAAAUGGUCUCUAUUCCAGGGAUCAAAUCAGCCAUUCUCUUGCCUGUGGUUUGAAAUGUGGCCUGGGCCACGUGCCCCUAAUCUCCAGGUGUCUCUGGGCUGCCUCCACUGUGGCUCUUUCCGUCCAUCUGCUCUCAAGCUGCUCCCACACUCCUUCCAGGACUGUGCCUUUCUACGUCUUUGACUGUGUCCGUAGCACAAACUCUCCUUUCUUUCAUCUUGUUUUACUUUUCUGAUUACUUAUCCAAGAAAUAAAAAUUGAUGUUUUCAAGUUCCAAUGCAAAGGAAUAAACACACUCAAGUUUUAAUCAUCGUCUCCCAGCUGUGGACAGAAAUGUGACCUGGGAAUUAAUCACUCACGGAGCCGGCCUGACCCGUCAGCGGCAGGAGGGCUGCUCCCCAGUCUCCCCGGCCGCAUGGCCCUGCACCUGCAAAGCUUUCCACAAGAAUACGGAAGGAGGAACUUCCGGUUUUUCUUUGAAAGAGGAAGCUUG
rnacentral:lncRNA from 1 species